rnacentral:tRNA from 1 species
UAGGUUGAAGUUUAAUGCCAGAGCAUCUAGCCGUUAACUAGAAAGAAGUGGGAUUAAUACCCAUCGACCUAA